rnacentral:rRNA from 1 species
GACGAACGCUGGCGGCGUGCUUAACACAUGCAAGUCGAGCGGUGAACCGGGCUUCGGCCCGGGGAUCAGCGGCGAACGGGUGCGUAACACGUGGGCAACCUGCCCCUCACUCUGGGAUAACCCCGGGAAACCGGAGCUAAUACCGGAUACCUUCGCGGAGCCACAUGGCCCUGCGAGGAAAGGUCCGCCGGUGAGGGAUGGGCCCGCGGCCUAUCAGCUUGUUGGUGGGGUCACGGCCCACCAAGGCGACGACGGGUAGCUGGUCUGAGAGGACGACCAGCCACACUGGGACUGAGAUACGGCACAGACUCCUACGGGAGGCAGCAGUGGGGAAUCUUGCGCAAUGGGCGAAAGCCUGACGCAGCGACGCCGCGUGGGGGAUGAAGGCCCUCGGGUCGUAAACCCCUUUCGGCAGGGACGAAGCGAACGUGACGGUACCUGCAGAAGAAGCCCCGGCUAACUACGUGCCAGCCGCCGCCGUAAAAC